CUCCUACGGGAGGCAGCAGUGGGGAAUAUUGCGCAAUGGGCGAAAGCCUGACGCAGCAACGCCGCGUGGACGAUGAAGGCCUUCGGGUUGUAAAGUCCUGUCAGGAGGGACGAAGUCUCGCUUGCGAGAUGACGGUACCUCCAGAGGAAGCCCCGGCUAAUUACGUGCCAGCAGCCGCGGUAAUACGUAGGGGGCAAGCGUUGUCCGGAUUUAUUGGGCGUAAAGAGCACGUAGGCGGUUUACCAGGUCAGGUGUGAAAACUUCGGGCUUAACCCGGAGCCUGCACUUGAAACCGGUAGACUAGAGUCUAGGAGAGGAGAGUGGAAUUCCCAGUGUAGCGGUGAAAUGCGCAGAUAUUGGGAAGAACACCGGUGGCGAAGGCGGCUCUCUGGACUGCGACUGACGCUGAGGUGCGAAAGCUAGGGUAGCAAACAGGAUUAGAUACCCUGGUAGUCCUAGCUGUAAACGAUGGGCACUAGGUGUAGGUGGUUAUCGACGCUAUCUGUGCCGCAGCUAACGCAUUAAGCAUCCCGCCUGGGGAGUACGGCCGCAAGGUUAAAACUCAAAGGAAUUGACGG
rnacentral:rRNA from 1 species